CAAGAGUCAAAAGCCAAAUACAUAUUUUACAAUGUCACAGGACCCCAGGUUGCACAGAGAAGAAGUGUAGAGGAUCACGAAAGGUAAAGUUCACCUACUUUAUGGUUUUACCAAGGGCUCUCCCUGUUUAGAUACAAAAUAUUUGUUGAAGAAUGUUGCCAUAUGCAGAGACUCACGAGGUGUCUUAAUCCCAAAGUGAACAAAUACUCACCAAUAGUGUUGGCAAACUCUGCUGUAUCUCAUGGACUUCAGCGGACCUGUAAGGAGACCAACUGUGCUGUGUCAGAUCAAGGCUUUCCUAUUGUAAGAGGAGACAAAGUCCCAGGGGACUGACCCACUUUUACCAAGCCGACUUCUAGAAAAACUCAAAUUCCCAGAUGCUGGAAUUCUUCCAGAAAUGAAGCAAUUUGGGGUCUCCAACCGUCAGGCCACGGACCAGUGAGAGGUGACAGCGUGCUGGCAGUCCUCACAGCCCUCGCUCGCUCUCAGCGCCUCCUCUGCCUGGGCUCCCACUUUGGCGGCACUUGAGGAGCCCUUCAGCCCACCGCUGCACUGUGGGAGCCCUUUUCUGGGCUGGCCAAGGCCCGAGCCAGCUCCCUCAGCUUGCAGGGAGGUGUGGAGGGAGAGGCGCGAGCGGGAACCGGGACUGCGCACUGCGCUUGGGGGCCAGCUGGAGUUCCGGGUGGGCGUGGGCUUGGCCGGCCCGGCACUAGGAGCAGCCGGCCGGCCCUGCCGGCUCCGGGCAAUGAGGGGCUUAGCACCCGGGCCAGCGGCUGCAGAGGGUGUACUGGGUCCCCCAGCAGUGCCAGCCCACCGGCACUGCACUCGAUUUCUCACCAGGCCUUAGCUGCCUUCCCGCGGAGCAGGGCUCAGGACCUGCAGCCGGCCAUGCCUCUGCCUCCCACCCCCUCCAUGGGCUCCUGUGCAGCCCGAGCCUCGCCGAUGAGCGCCGCCCCCUGCUCCACGGCGCCCAGUCCUAUCGACCACCCAAGGGCUGAGGAGUGUGGGCGCACGGUGCGGGACUGGCAGGCAGCUCCACCUGCAGCCCUGGUUCGGGAUCCACUGGGUGAAGCCAGCUGGCCUCCUGAAUCUGAUGGGGACAUGGAGAACCUUUAUGUCUAGCUCAGGGAUUGUAAAUACACCAAUGGGCACUCUGUAUCUAGCUCAAGGUUUGUAAAUACACCAAUCAGCACCCUGUGUCUAGCUCAGGGUUUGUGAAUACACCAAUUGACACUCUGUAUCUAGCUAUUCUGGUGGGGCCUUGGAGAACCUUUGUGUGGACACUCUGUGUCUAGCUAAUCUGGUGGGGAGGUGGAGAACCUUUGUGUCUAGCUCAGGGAUUGUAAACGCACCAAUCAGCACCCUGUCAAAACAGACCACUAGACUCUACCAAUCAGCAGGAUGUGGGUGGGGCCAGAUAAGAGAAUAAAAGCAGGCUGCCCCAGCCAGCAGUGGUAACCCGCUCGGGUCACCUUCCACACUGUGGAAGCGUUGUUCUUUUACUCUUUGCAAUAACUCUUGCUGCUGCUCACUCUUUGGGUCCACUGCUUUUAUGAGCUGUAACACUCACCGCGAAAGUCUGCAGCUUCACUCCUGAAGCCAGCAAGACCAGGAGCCCACCGGGAGGAAUUAACAACUCCAGGCGCGCCGCCUUAAGAGCUGUAACAUUCACCGCAAAGGUCCGCGGCUUCAUUCCUGAGCCAGCGAGACCACGAACACACCAGAAGGAAGAAACUCCGAACAUAUCCGAACAUCAGAAGGAACAAACACCAGACACGCCACCUUAAGAGCUGUAACACUCACUUCGAAGGUCUGCGGCUUCAUUCCUGAGCCAGCGAGACCACGAACCCACCAGAAGGAAGAAACUCCGACAUCCGAACAUCAGAAGGAACAAACUCCAGACACGCCACCUUAAGAGCUGUAACACUCACUUCGAAGGUCUGCUGCUUCAUUCCUGAGCCAGCGAGACCACGAACCCACCAGAAGGAAGAAACUCCGACAUCCGAACAUCAGAAGGAACAAACUCCAGACACACCACCUUAAGAGCUGUAACACUCACUGCGAGGGUCCGCGGCUUCAUUCUUGAAGUCAGGGAGACCAAGAACCCACCAAUUCCGGACAGACCAGUACCAGUCCAUGGCCUGUUAGAAACUGGGUGCAAAGCAGGAAGGGAGCAGUGGGUGGGCAAGGAACAAAGCUUCAUCUGUAUUUACAGCUGCUACCCAUUGCCUGCAUUCCCACCUGAGUUCUGCCUCAGCUGCAACAUUAGAUUCUCAUAGGAGCAUGAACCCUUUGUGAACUGCCUGUGAGGGAUCUAGGUUACCCAUUCCUCAUGAGAAUGUAACUAAUGCCUGUUGAUCUGAAGUGGAACAGUUUCAUCCCCAAAACAUCUGCAUCCUCAACUGAGGAAAAAUUCUCUUCCACAAACAAGUCCCUGGUGCCAAAAAGGUUGGGGACUGCUGCUUUAACACAUCUCUCCCUCUCACUUCCUUCUCCGUAAUUCCCAUUUUAAAGGUGAAAAUAGAGGCACAGAAAUGUUAAGUACCUAAUCCAAGUUACACAGCUAGUAAAUGUCACUGCUAGGAGUUAGGCUGCACAGUUCAUGCACUAACUACUACACCAUGAAGAUGAAAAAACUGAAUCAUUCUGGACUAGUCAAAUUUCUUAACCUUAAUGUGCUUUAAAUCUGCAGAAUGGAGAUCAGAUCCCAUUCUAAAAAGUACCCUGCAGAAUUCCAUAUCUAGUCGACACUCAGGCAUUCUCAGAUUUAAUUCUCUUCUUAAGCAACCCCACAGGUUUAUGUCAUGAAGUAAUGUGUAAUUUUGCUAGGAUACAAAUGUCAAUGACAAAAGCUGUGCAAGGCUGGCCCACCAAAAUAGGACACUUGGUUGAUACAGGAAGGGAAACCAGUAAGGAACCCAACAUUGACAUGAGCAUGUAGCUUUAUUUUCCUCAUCUCCUGGUGCACAUUAAAAUUCCAGAAAAAAUGGUAUGGCAUAGUGGUAUUCUCAAAUUUGGAACUUGUAAAAGUUUUAAGAUGUAUCGCUAGACAAAUGUCAAGGACCCACUCCAUGUUCCUGGCUGACAUCCUCUGAUAUGGUCACCUGAAUUAUACAUUUUUCCAUAAUUAAGGAAAAGCAGAUAUUGUAUGCAUUUAAACAUAUUAUCUCUAUUUAAAGACUGAUAAUACACAGCAUUGUUUAUGAAGAGAACAAAAUCAUAUAACUAUAUUAAGAGACAAGUUGCUAUGGUAACCAUUUCUCUGCUUAAAAAGAGAGGCAAACCCUUGUGUUAUUGGAAGAUUCUCUCAGCUUUUAAUAGCAAGCAUUAUGUAUUAUUUUAUGUAUUGGGCCUGCUUUUUGUCUUAUACGAGAUAAGUUUCCAUGUUACCUUACUUAACAGAAUAAGUCAUAUUGAAUAUUUAAUAAUUAAAUGGAAAUUGUAUUGGGUGAUGCACCCUCAAAGGCAAAUAAAAAUUAUGAUUAAAUAUCUCACCGAGUAUGUUAACAGAUGAUCACACAUACCUUGAAACAACUGCGUCAUUCUAUAGUCAAUAGUUUCAAUUGUCUGUAGAUGUUAUUUAUUUCCAGAAAACUAUUUCCUAGAUUAAUAGAGGAAAGUUAACAUAUAAAACUCUGUAUUUUACACCAAGAUAAUUUUUUACCCACAUUAUUUUCUUACGUUUCAUUGGCAGAUCCUUUCCUGCUUU
rnacentral:lncRNA from 10 species